rnacentral:tRNA from 1 species
CGCGGGGUGGAGCAGCGGUUAGCUCGGAUGGCUCAUAACCAUCAGGUCGCAAGUUCAAAUCUUGCCCCCGCAACCA